CGUAGGGCGCGAGCGUUGUCCGGAUUUAUUGGGCGUAAAGAGCUCGUAGGCGGCUUGUUGCGUCAGCUGUGAAAACCCGCAGCUCAACUGUGGGCUUGCAGCUGAUACGGGCAGGCUUGAGUUCGGUAGGGGAGACUGGAAUUCCUGGUGUAGCGGUGAAAUGCGCAGAUAUCAGGAGGAACACCGGUGGCGAAGGCGGGUCUCUGGGCCGAUACUGACGCUGAGGAGCGAAAGCGUGGGGAGCGAACAGGAUUAGAUACCCUGGUAGUCCACGCUGUAAACGUUGGGCGCUAGGUGUGGGGGGCCUCUCCGGUUCUCUGUGCCGCAGCUAACGCAUUAAGCGCCUCGCCUGGGGAGUACGGCCGCAAGGCUA
rnacentral:rRNA from 1 species